AUUGAACGCUGGCGGCAGGCCUAACACAUGCAAGUCGAGCGGAACGGCGGACGGGUGGGUAAUGCAUAGGUAUCUGCCUGGUAGUGGGGGAGAGCGUCCGGCAACGGGCGAUGAUACAGCCUGCUAUCUGAUGAACCUAGGUGGGAUUAGCUAGUGGGUGGGGUAAAGGCCUACCAAGGCGACGAUCCGUCACUGGUCUGAGAGGAUGAUCAGUCACACUGGAACUGAGACACGGUCCAGACUCCUACGGGAGGCAGCAGUGGGGAAUAUUGGACAAUGGGCGAAAGCCUGAUCCAGCCAUGCCGCGUGUGUGAAGAAGGUCUUCGGAUUGUAAAGCACUUUAAGUUGGGAGGCGUUACCAACAGAAUAAGCACCGGCUAACUUCGUGCCAGCAGCCGCGGUAAUUC
rnacentral:rRNA from 1 species